UACGUAGGGGGCAAGCGUUGUCCGGAAUCAUUGGGCGUAAAGCGUGCGUAGGCGGCUGCGCAAGUCGGUUGUGAAACCCCGGGGCUCAACCCCGGAACUGCAUCCGAUACUGCGUGGCUAGAGGUAGGUAGGGGAGAUCGGAAUUCCUGGUGUAGCGGUGAAAUGCGCAGAUAUCAGGAGGAACACCGGUGGCGAAGGCGGAUCGCUGGGCGUUACCUGACGCUCAGGCACGAAAGCGAGGGGAGCAAACAGG
rnacentral:rRNA from 1 species